rnacentral:lncRNA from 1 species
GCCGGAAAACGGAACUCAGUGGGUAGACUCUGAGCUGGAGAACAGCAUGCUGGGUAGAGUGGGGUCAGGAGGGGAAUGUGGUACACAGGGUCACGAAGGUGAGCUGGACAAACAGUAAGGUCUGGGUGCACAAGCAGCGCCUGUAGAGUGGGGUGCUCUAGGAACAAUGGAGGAGAAGAAGCGGGGCGAGUGGAGGAAAGAUGUGUGUUGGUAGAACAGACAGCGGCAGUAGGAAAAGGAGGCCGCGGGUCUGUGAGACGAGGGACAGAGCACACCGAGGGAGUCAAGGUAAUGCGAUGGCAAUGGCGGAACUAUUUGAGCUGCAGGACAACAGAGUCAAGGGGCUGGCAAGAGAGCUCACGGAAGACAGUGAUGAUGUCAGCUGCCAUAGACCCUGAGGACUAGGUUGGGUUGAAGAAGAUCCCGGGCACCACCCUCAGAGCUUACCAACAGCCAGCCCCAUCUAAAAGAAUGGCAAAACUCCUAUCAUCCGCCGACACAGCAAGGAAAUGAAAAGAGGAAAGACCAACUCUUCCUAGACAUGAAACUGGUACUCUGACUGGUCACUGCAGCUCUGUGCACCUGGAGCAUAAUCAAAA